AGCGAACGCUGGCGGCAGGCUUAACACAUGCAAGUCGAGCGGGCAUCCUCGUGGUGUCAGCGGCAGACGGGUGAGUAACGCGUGGGAACGUGCUCUUCGGUUCGGACUAACCCAGGGAAACUUGAGCUAAUACCGGAUACGUUCGCGAGCAGAAAGGCUUAUCUGCCGAAGGAUCGGCGCGCGUCUGAUUAGCUAGUUGGUGAGGUUACGGCUCACCAAGGCGACGAUCAGUAGCUGGUCUGCGAGGAUGAUCAGCCACACUGGGACUGAGACACGGCCCAGACUGCGACGGAGGGGAGCAGUAGAGAAUAUUGGGCGCGGGGGGCAAACCUAGUCCAGCCGUGCCGGGUGUGUGAUGAUGGCCGUAGGAUUGUAAAGCUCUUUGCGCCGGGACGAUAGUGACGGUAACGGGUAAAGAAGCCCCGGCUAACUACGUG
rnacentral:rRNA from 1 species